UCCCUCUCAGGGUCAUACCUGGAGAGUUUCCAGUACUGCACCAGUCUCGACUACAGGAGGGAGAGUCGAGCAGAGGUAUACCCAUUCCAUUGCUAGCUUGGGCAGUGGCUAGAGAGUGGAAGGCAAUCUGCCGCAAGU